UAGUUACUUGUGCUAAGCCAACAUGGAGGAUCUAUCUUCAGAUCGGAAGCCCAAUAUGAAAGUCAACCCCUCAUUUCUAUCCAGAACUCAGUGGGAACGGCGGAUUGAAAGCUCAAAUUAGCCAACUAAAUGAGCUGUAAUCGGUAAUGAAACUAGAAUUAAGUUUAAAAACCAACAAAAAAACAACAAAGAAACAACAAAGAAACUCAAGUGAUUCUCACCAAUAUUUUCAGAUUCUUUCCAUCAAAAACAUAAAUCAAAGGCUUUAUUAUUACGCAAAGAAAAAGGGAAGAAAACAGCUGCCAAACAACAGUCCAACUAAGAAAGAAAAACCAAACUUAAUUGAGACGAAAACUCCAACACAAAAGUCAAAAUCACUGAUCAAACUAAACAAGAAGUAGAAGAGGAAAUGAAAUGAAAGAAAAAGAGUAUGCAGAGUAGCCUCAAACAAUUCAAUCCGAAACCAUGUAAAAAGAAAAGAAAACAAGAGUAGAAUCUAAGGAAGAAAUCAAGCUGACGGGAAAUCAAAAAUUGCACAUGAAAUAGAAGCGUGAAAUGAAAGAGGAUUAUUGCAGAGAUGGAUCUUAAUCUGAAGGGGUAUGAAAGAUGAGACAAGGUGGAGGUUUGGGUUGGGG
rnacentral:lncRNA from 1 species